GUAGACGCUUCAUUAGAAUGUCCAGCAGUAUCUGACUAUCUCUUCGCAGCAGCUAUGUUUCAGACAGCGGCACCUCGUAUAGCUGUAUUCUGGCAGCUGAUCCACGGUAACACCGCUCGCUUGAUUUCAAAUAUCAUAUUCUUCGUGAAACAUUGCUUCGCAGCCUCCUUUUCCUUUUUCCCUCGGGAUAUUUAUAAGACCGGCCAAAGGUUUGGUGAGCUCUUCCCCUCGGGACUGGUGUAUACGGGCGGGGAGUAGGAUUACUGCUGCACGUAGAUGAAACGGCUAGGUGCAAACGCGCUGCCGUGCUGCCGGGCUCGUCGCUUGGCCAGUCGCAUGCGAUUAGGUCAUGUCGGUUGGUCUUGGUGGUGCGGUAGUGCCCUGGUCGACCCUCGGUGUAAAAGUUGGUCAUCUCUCCGACCCGUCUUGAAACACGGACCAAGGAGUCUAGCGUAUACGCGAGUCAUUGGGUGGAAAACCCAUAGGCGCAAUGAAAGUGAAGGCUUCCUCGUGGAGCUGAUAUGCGAUCCGUUGCACUUCGGUGUACGCGGAGAAGCAUAGCCCCGUCUCGACUGCUUGCAGUGGGGCCGGAGGUAGAGCGUAUUCGCUGGUACCCGAAAGAUGGUGAACUAUGCCUUGAGCAGGAUGAAGCCAGAGGAAACUCUGGUGGAGGUCCGAAGCGCUUUCUGACGUGCAAAUCGAUCGUCUGACUUGGGUAUAGGGGCGAAAGACUAAUCGAACCAUCUAGUAGCUGUUCCCUUUGCAAAAGUUUGUUCGAAGUUUGUUGUUUUUUCUUG
rnacentral:rRNA from 1 species